GAUUAACGCUGGCGGCGUGCAUAACACAUGCAAGUCGAACGAUGAAACUCAUUAGAUUUCUUCGGAAUGAAAAUGAAUGGAUUAGUGGCGAACGGGUGAGUAACGCGUGAGUAACCUGCCUUACACAAGGGGAUAGCCUCUGGAAACGGAGAAUAAUACCCUAUGAAACCAGACAAUCGCAUGAUAAUCUGGUCAAAAUGUUUAGUGGUGUAAGAUGGACUUGCGUCUGAUUAGCUAGUUGGUGAGAUAAAAGCUCACCAAGGCAACGAUCAGUAGCCGGCUUGAGAGAGUGUACGGCCACAUUGGGACUGAGACACGGCCCAGACUCCUACGGGAGGCAGCAGUGGGGAAUUUUGCACAAUGGGGGAAACCCUGAUGCAGCGACGCCGCGUGAUUUAGAAGGCCUUCGGGUUGUAAAAAUCUUCUGUAUAGGAAGAAAAUGACAGUACUAUACGAAUAAGGUCCGGCUAAUUACGUG
rnacentral:rRNA from 1 species